UGGAGGAGGGAGGGUGUGCUGCGCGGCGCUCCGGAGGACACGCACUUGCGCUGCUUUGUCGCUUUCCGUCAACUCUGGUGUUCUGGCUGUUUGCGAGGCCGUGGUGUGUUCAGUGUGGCGUGCGCGCCUUUCUCGAUGAGUCGUGGAGUGUAUUAGGAGGCGCUGGUGAGCGGCUGAGAGGAAAAAAUACCGAGUUUUGGGUGAUAAUAUACCAGGCAGUGAUCCGUUCUGAAGUGGCAAUAGAGUCGAAGUUUCUCAGAGUUGACUGGAUACAUUAUGAUUGGAGAUGGUUAGUGCCAGUGUAGGGUGAGGCUUGUCAGCACACCCCGUCAGGAAUGGUGAAAAGACCGUGAGCAUGGGCUGGUAACAACAGUAUGGUCUCAGGGACUGUGGUGAGCGCCGGCACGGUCUCUCCUCACCACAAGUAUGUGGCGGUCACGCUCAUCACGCACGAAACGCUCACUUUCGCCGUUGAGGUGAAGACCCGAGUCGCGGAGGUCUACAGCCAGGUGUGCUCGUACCUGCAGCAGCUGGGCAUGCAAGACACUGAUCUCUUCGGAUUGGCCACUGUCAUCGGUAAGUGGAGG